rnacentral:pre_miRNA from 1 species
GAUUUCAACUGAAAAAGUUAUCAACAACAAAGUUAAAUAACUCAUCAAGAUCCAAAACUUUUAUUUUGAUCAUUUCUUCAUCCGACAAAGUGAUACUAACAUUAUUCACAAAAUUGACGUAUCUCUUAUCUGGUUUUAUAAACUAUAACACAUAUAUGUAAAAUUUGUGAACAAUGUUACUAGCACUUUGUCAGAUGAAGAAAUAACAAAAAUAAAAGUUUUAGAUCUUCAUGAGUUAUACAAUUUUGUUGUUGAUGACUUUUUCAAUUGAAAUC